UACGUAGGGCGCAAGCGUUGUCCGGAAUUAUUGGGCGUAAAGAGCUCGUAGGCGGCUUGUCACGUCGGAUGUGAAAGCCCGGGGCUUAACUCCGGGUCUGCAUUCGAUACGGGCUAGCUAGAGUGUGGUAGGGGAGAUCGGAAUUCCUGGUGUAGCGGUGAAAUGCGCAGAUAUCAGGAGGAACACCGGUGGCGAAGGCGGAUCUCUGGGCCGUAACUGACGCUGAGGAGCGAAAGCAUGGGUAGCGAACAGG
rnacentral:rRNA from 1 species